ACGGGUGAGUAACGCGUGAGUAACCUGCCUUCAAGAGGGGGAUAACAUUCUGAAAAGAAUGCUAAUACCGCAUGACAUAUCGGAACCACAUGGUUUUGAUAUCAAAGAUUUUAUCGCUUGAAGAUGGACUCGCGUCCGAUUAGUUAGUUGGUGAGGUAACGGCUCACCAAGACCGCGAUCGGUAGCCGGACUGAGAGGUUGAACGGCCACAUUGGGACUGAGACACGGUCCAAACUCCUACGGGAGGCAGCAUG
rnacentral:rRNA from 1 species